ACCGCGGUACGCAACUGGCGAUAGGCGCGGCCCACCGAGCGGCCGGCGCCGACGUGGACAUCAGCACAGGGGCUGCCUGAAGCGGGCAGCCGAUUGUUCCACCACGGGGAAGCGUGCCGCCGGGGUCUUCCGGUGUUCAGCCGUUCGCCUGGGCAGCCCUU
rnacentral:ncRNA from 12 species